AUUGAACGCUGGCGGCAGGCCUAACACAUGCAAGUCGAACGGUAACAGGAAGCUGCUUGCUGCUUCGCUGACGAGUGGCGGACGGGUGAGUAAUGUCUGGGAAGCUGCCUGAUGGAGGGGGAUAACUACUGGAAACGGUAGCUACUACCGCAUAAUGUCGCAAGACCAAAGAGGGGGACCUUCGGGCCUCUUGCCUUCGGCUGUGCCCAGAUGGGAUUAGCUUGUUGGUGGGGUAACGGCUCACCAAGGCGACGAUCCCUAGCUGGUCUGAGAGGAUGAACAGCCACACUGGAACUGAGACACGGUCCAGACUCCUACGGGAGGCAGCAGUGGGGAAUAUUGGACAAUGGGCGCAAGCCUGAUGCAGCCAUGCCGCGUGUGUGAAGAAGGUCUUCGGGUUGUAAAGUACUUUCAGCGGGGAGGAAGGGAGUUAAGUUAAUACCUUGGCUCAUUGACGUUACCCGCAGAAGAAGCACCGGCUAACUCCGUG
rnacentral:rRNA from 1 species